ensembl:lncRNA
GUUCUUUCCACUCGACCAUGUGGCCUCUUUCCAAAUGAGUUGGAAAGUAAUAAAAGCCGUUGGCACUGUAACAGCAGGACACAUCACAGGAUCCAAUGAAGGAUUUUAAGCAGGAGGAUGACGUAACACCUUUUGUGUUGAAGGGGCCCACUGUUGUGUGGUGGGGAGGAUGGUGAGCCUGCAGCCAAGGGGGCCGUGCGAAGGCUCUAUUGCAUCAGCCCAGAGUCUUCAGUGAGGCGGUGUUCCUCAUACCCUCACCUGGGAACGUUCUCAUAACUUCUGGAGUGGGCCUGGUCAUUUGCAGCCUUACUACACAAUUUGCUCUUUAUCCAAAUUGCUUUUUAGGGGACAGACUGUCCUGAAGCCUACUCAGAAGUCAGACAAGUCCUGCCUAAAGCUCUUCUGCAACAGUAGAAGCUCAAAACUGACGUUGUCACUCCAGCCUGAGCCAAUGUGCGUCUGGUGAAGAUACUGUAGCAAAUCCACAACCGGGAGGAAAGGCUGGGACUGUCUCCCUGCCAAGGUGUUCAAGAUUCAAGAUCUCAGGUCUGCUUUGGGUCAGGAAUGCCAUCCCAACUGGUGAAAAUAUAAGGCAUGGGUCAGAGAAGAAGUUUAAGAGCCCUACCUGGAAGAAACUUUGUUGAGAGUCUAUUCUUUAGCACUGGUGUCUAUUUAAUCCUCUCUCCUUCUAUUUAAUCCACAUCCUAUCUGGUGUGCUCAUUCCUAGCUAGGGUUCAGUGCCUCAGACCCAAGUCACUAGAGAAACUUGUAAAUCAACCCAUCAUCUCAUUUUGCAAGGCCUGGUGUAAUGUUUCUAAAGCCCAAUAGUAUAGUCUGAACUGAUGAUCUCAUAUAUAUCACAGUGAAAUGAGGAGUGAAAUGAAAUUUCUUUUUGUACAUAGAAAUAAUUGCCCAUGUAAUGGGUUGAGGUAAGGCCAGCUUUAGCAUUUGCAAAAUUAAAAUUAAAAGAAAGGUCUGUAGAAAAGUUUUGGCCCCGUUUCCUGAAACUACCUUGCCUGGGGUAUGGACCAUGUACUGAACUCUUAUCCCAACAUCAUCACCCAAAGGGCUAUCGAUCCUAUUCCCAGAGGACUUCCCAAGCAGCAUAUGGAAGGAAAAAUGAAGAAUCAGAGUUUAGGCAAAUUAGGAAUCUAAUGUCAGUCAAUGGUUUACAACAAGGCUGCAAAAUUGGCCAUCCAUAUAUCGUCAAGAAACCAGGAAGAUGUGACGAAACGCUGCCUGACUGUGGCUGUGCGCCAUACUCUCUCAUACUCACUUCUCACCUCCAUUCACUUCUAAUUCCAGGCUCUUUCCACGGGAUUUGACAGGGCUUUCUUUUGGACUUCUCUAUAAUUAUGACUUCACAGAAGUUCUUCUCUGGGUCACCUCUGGGCUUCAAUGUCCUAGCUGUCUCUCCACAAACUCUUGUUUCAGACAGGAGUUCCGCUUCUCCGGAUCGCCCCCUGUGAACCAGCACUUCCACCUGUUUAAUCCAUCAGAGAGUCUAGGCCUUAGUUUAACCAGUCUGCCUGGUUCCCGUGGCCUCAAAUCCUCCAUCCCUUCCCUUUCCCCAGCGGGGCUGCUCAAACAAGCUCAUGGCUCAGGUAUGUCUCCCUAAAAGCUGAGAGAAAUCCCUGCCCCAAGUAGGCAAUCCUCAGAAAGCCCACUGGUUCCAUAUUUUGUUUUUCGUGCUUGGGACUUGAAGAUGAUGAUUAUUCUGAUGCCAGAGAUACUCUUCCAAGCCCUCAUCAGAGGAUCCAGGCCUGUGCAUCCCUCACUGCGCACAUCCUGGAAUGGAGAAUUGUGUUUUGGCGAUAAUGCCAGAAAGCCAACACCACUGAGUUGUGCAGAUCUCUUCUGUUUACACACAGAGUAUGUCAUCUCAGGUCAAAACUAUUUUUAGACACAGUGUUGAUCUUUUCAGCAUUGUCCCCCAAACUACUGUCUCAGUGCAUCUCCUUUGCCCUGAGCUGGUUUGACUUUAGAAUACAAAUUAGUGAUAAGACGUGAACAGGGAACAUGAUCUGAUGUGUGGAACCACGGCAACAAGGUGAAAAGGAACGAACAUUUAUUGAGUGCCUACGAUGUACCAGGCACAAUUAGUCAUAAUGAUAAUAUUUACUGUAUGAAUAUUAUGUGUAAGGCAUUGUGCUAAGCCCUUACACAUAACCCAAUUUAAUCCUCACAACAACCCUGUGAGAUAGGCAUUGUAUUAUGGUCCUCAUUUUAUGAAUGAGAAACUUAAGCUUAAAGAGAUUAAGUAACUUGCUCAAGAUGAAUAGAGUUUCAAGUCAAGAGCUGUCUGAAUCUAACAUCCAACAAGUUUUCUCUCUCUCUCAACGUUUUUUUAUUAGACUUCUCAUAGAUUUCUUUGUUUUACUGCCCUUUUCAAAGAAUCAGCUUUUGGUAUUGCUGAUCAAUUCUACUUUUCUCACUGUUUUAUUAUUUUCUGCUUUUAUUUUUAUUGAUCUUUUCCUUCAGCUUUCCUUGAAUUUAUACUGUUUUUUUUUUCUAGCUUAUUGGGUCAAUGGCUUAGAUCAUUUAUGUUCUACUGUGCCUGUUCUAAUACAUGCAUUCAAGGCUAUGUAUUCUCUUCUGAGUGUGAUUUUGACUACAUGCCAUAGGAUGUUCUCAUUUUUAUUAUUUCUGAAGUGUAUGAUUUCAAUUCUGAUUAUUUGUUUCGCCCAGAAGAUAUUUAGAAAUAAGUUUAGAUAAAUAGAUUUAUUUGAGGAAAGGAGUACUUAACCUUUGGUUAAUAGUUUCUACUCGAGUACCUUAACAAUUAAAAUAGCAAUCUGUUUCUGAUAUUAUGGAAAACAUGAGUAUCUCAUAGCUACACUGAAUUCUGCCAUUUUCACUUAUGUUGCUCUUUAUUGCAGGAGAAAAUCCAUAAAGAAAAAUAUUUGGUUGUCCAUUUUUAUAUUGUUUAUAUAGCUAUUUACUUUUGGGGGGAGAGGUGAUGUCUUUCUGCUAGAAGGAAAUAUUUAUAUACAGCUUUAUUGAGGUAUAAUUGACAAACAAUAAUCUGCAUGUAUUUAAAAUGUACAAUUGGAUAAGUUAUGAAAUAUGUACACACCCUUGAAACUAUCACCAUAAUCAAGAUAACGAACAUAUGCGUUACUCCCAAAAGUUUUCUUCUGCCUAUUUGCAAUCUCACCCUCCCACUCCCCACUGUUCCCUUUCCAAAAAUCUGCUGAUCUGCUUUCUGUUUGUUUGUAUUUUAUAGAUUUUUGUAUAAGUGAUAUUAUACAGUAUGUCCUCUUUUUUGUCUGGCUUCUUUCGUUUCAGCACUAUGAGAUUCAUCCACGUUGUUGUGUGUAUCGAUAGUUCAUUCCUUUUUAUUGCUGAGUAGUCUUCUGCUGUAUGAAUACACCACAAUUUGUUUAUUCAUUUACCUGUUAAUGGAUGUUUGGGUUGUUUUCAGUUUGGGGCUCUUACAAAUAAAGCUGCUAUGAACAUUUGUGUGUAAGUUUUUGUAUGGACAUAUAGCACUUUUUCUCUUAAGUAAAUUGCUAGGAGUGGAAUGGCCACAUCUCACAGUAGGUGUAUGUUUAACAUGUUAAGAGUUGCUAAAAUCUCUUCCAAAGUGGUCAAACAGUUACAUUCCCAUCAGCAGUGUAUGAGAGUUCAAGUUUCCCCACAUCCUCACAACACCUGAUAUGGUCAGUCUCUUUAAUUUCAGACAUUCUAAUAGAUGUUUCCUAGUAUCUCGUUGUGGUUUUAAUUUGCAUUUCCCACUGACUAAUGGUGAGAGUGUGGGGAACAGGUUCUUUUAUGUGCUUUUGGUGGGACUAUGCAUUGAAACCUUUUUUGUAUUGCAAUUUGAAUUUUGAACAAGUUUUGACAUAUCAGUCUUAUUUCCAGAAAUCUAUCCUGUCAUGAACUGAGCAUCUCCACAAAAGCUGUCGGGCUAAACGCAGUUCUUUCCAUAAUUUCCCUCUGAGUCAGAAGAGACUUUCUCACACUUUCUUGCUGAUCGAUUUCUAGUUCUCCACACCAUGCAUUCAACACUCGACAGUGGUUACAGUGAUGGUAUGAAUUGUUGAGGUCUGUGGCGGUGAUUUAAUCUAAAAUGCAACUAGAUAUCUAAAUUUAAAGAUGCAACACACAACACAGUGUAGUGGAUCGAGUAAGCCUUUCUUUCCCCCCUGCCUAGAACAUUUGAUUGCAGUCCCUCAUUUCUCUUGGGGAACUCUUUCCAAACUCCUUAUAGUCUGGAUGGGACUGUCAAUCAUACCGCCCAGCACUCUCUGGCCAUGGGAUGGUCACAUUUAUAACCCAGACUGGGCCACUCAUGGUUCAUUAUAGGUUUGGUACACUGACUAGAAAUGGGCACAUGAUUCAGCAGGAACUGAGUCUUCCUCUGGAUUGAUAUACAAAUGUGAGGAGCCAGUUGCUUUUCUGCUGGAGUUGCUGGGCUGGGAAAAGGAAUCUGAGGCUGCCAGUGGGUGCCUUCCUUAGUUUCAUGGAGGAAGCCUGUCUUUAGUGGAAAGCAAAAGAGUGAGACCAACAUACUAAGGAAAGCAGAGGCAGACAUGUAAAGAAAGAGAGAGAGAAAGAGAUGAGGGUGAGGAAUGGAGAGGAGAGAGACAAGAGAGAAGAAAGUGAGAGAGAAAACAAUAUUACUUACUACAUCUAAAUCCAAAUUCAUCCCUAGACUUCCACGUUGUAUAAGCCAAUUUACUUUCUCCUUCACUCUUCUUGUCUCUCUUUUCCUUAAGUUAGUUUGCCUUGGGUUUCUGAACUUGCAAGUAACGGAAUACAAGCUGUCACCUAUCAUCUCCCCCUCACUGAGCCCCAUCAAGAAUCUACUCAUAUUAACCUUUACUGAACAGUGUAAAAUUUACUGAACAUUUCAAAUAAAAAAUAAAAGAGAAGAUUGACAAGGUAUAUCCACAGCACACAGCCCACAAAUCCCUGUCAGGGUUUCUCGUCUCUCAAUUUCUGUCCUGCUGGAGGUGGUUUCCUUCUGAUUCUUCCAUCUCACAGACUCUAGACCCUUUGAUUCCUUCUAUUACGUGGAACAAUUUAGCUACCAUCUAUUAUCACUUGAGCAUCCCCUUGAGGUUCUGACUUCUAGCGUAAGUACUUUUUCUUUAAAACUAAAACCAAUGUAUCCAUUUUAAGUAUUAGCUGGUCUCAAGCCUGUAACUCUUAAGGCAUAACUUUCUGGGAAAGGGGAAUGGAGCAUGUGAUUCACACCAUAUAUGUACCCAAAGCAAGCCACCAGCCUUGAGAGCAAUGAAAGUACUCAAAUACUUGUAAAUGAAGAGAAAGAGACCGGAGACAAAGAUGCUUGAGUCAUUCUUUAGGCCAAGCCAAUUCACCAGUUUAUCAGUUUACCAAUUCAGCUGCAUGGAAGGAAAAAUGGAGCAGAGCAUCCAAGAAAGUCUUCCAUGUGUCUAUGCAUGAGGCCUUUUACUGUGCAGUGGCUCUUCCCAAGAGUGAAUAGGACUCAUUCAAUGUUCUGGAAUCAAAUUAGUAUUCCCUCAUUAGGAGGAGAAAUGGAAGGGAAGAAGAUGGUGUGGCAGAAGCUACUGGUUGUCCCCAUAAUAUGAAUUCUCUUUUUCCUCAGUAAUAGAAACCUCCAGAUUUAGAUGGGUACUAGCCAGCCAGAAUAAAAACUACACUUAUCAGCUGCCCUUCAAGCUAGAUGUGGCAUAUGGCUAAGUUCUGGACAGUGGAAUGUAAGCAUAAAGUGACGUGGAUAUCUUCCUGAAAGUGUCCUUAGAGGUGGUGGGUGUGCCUUCUCCUUCACUUUUCCUUGUUCUCAUUGGCCAGAAUGUGGACAUGAUGGCAGGAUCUAGAAUAUCCUCUUGGACCAUAAAAUCGAAGUUACAUGUUAGGGAUGGUAG